CACCAUCUUCGAUCAACAAGUUGCAUGCAGCUGCAAAAACUGAGGUAAUUUUUCGCUGUCGGUGGUUCAAUUCGUUACUUUACACUUUCGUGGUAUUUUUUGAAAAAAAAAAAUCAUGAUUUAUGGAGAAGUUGGAUUCGAAUUCACUUUCUUCAUCGAUCGAGUUGCAUUCUUACGUAAUGAGGAAGACCCAUAUGCUUUAUGAGGGUCAUAGCGUAGCACGUUCGCCGGAUGCAGCCAGCCAUCGACAUAGUAUCCGGUCCUUGUUGCUCAUGACGUUUAGAUGACUUGUCAAGACAACUUUUUCAACCAAAUGAUUUAGGAAAUCAGACCGGUACCAGGAUACGAUAUAAAAUUGCGUGAAUUUAGAUUUUGAAAUGGAUUCAUGGUGGGAAAAUGUCAAUGUCGGGUUCAUGGAAUCAAGAGGAGAAGUUUUGACAAAGAAGGAGUAAAAGAAAAAGGGUAAUACGUUAUGGUAACUGCGAUUACAAAGGUUACAAAUCCUGACCCAAACGAUCCAGUUCGGAGAGUAAAAAGUCAAUGUCUUCUUGUCUGACCGCAGCGCUGGAGAUUAUGUUGCGGAAG